UUUUUUUUUUUUGUCUUUUUGUCUUUUUAGGGCCGCACCUGUGGCAUAUGGAGGUUCUCAGGCUAAGGGCUGAAUCAGAGCUGUGGCUGCCGGCCUACAGCACAGCUUGCAGCAAAGCCAGAUGCUUAGCCCACCGAGUGGGGCCAGGGAUCAAACUCAUGUCCUCAUGGAUACUAGUCGAGUUUGUUACCACUGAGCCACAAUAGGAACUCCAGAAAUCAUCACCUUUCUCUCCCUCAUUCCUAGAGUAGUUGUAUAAUUCCAUCCACCCACCACAGGGUGGGUUAAAGAUUAAUGAGAUAACACACGUAAGGGUCUUGGGUUUCUUAGGAGAACAGGCUGAUGGCCAUAUAAAAAUGUCAUAUAAACAUUUAUUUUAUUUUUAUUUAUUUAUUUUGUCUUUGACUUUUAAGGGCCGCACCUGUGGCCUAUGGAGGUACCCAGGCUACAGGUCGAAUCGGAGCUGUAGCUGCCGGCCUACACACAGCCACAGCAAUGUCAGAUCCAAGCUGCAUCUGCGACCUACACCACAGCUCAUGGCAACGCCGGAUCCUUAACCCACGAUCGAGGCCAGGGAUUGAACCCACAACCUCGUGACUCCUAGUCAGAUUUGUUUGUGCUGCGCCACGAUGGGAACUCAACAUGUUAUUUAAACAAGAUGUAUUUUUCCCUCCUCCAGCCUUGUGAUUGGACGAUUGACUCAAAGCCUUACAUCUCCCUUGUUCUUGAGAAGUAAGUUCCAUUGGAAAGCAUUCAGUAAGUAACAAUCAAGGCGGCACCAUAGUCAUAAACAGCAAUUAUAGUAUAGUCCUUUCCUAUUCUUUCACCAAGUAGGGCAGUAUUCAAACACAAAGGACUCAGACACAAUAGGACAGAGAAGUGAGGAUGCUGAUCUCCCAUUAAUGGUCCUCAGAAAGAUUCUUGGGUUUGGGAAAAAAUCAAGGAUGGAUUAAGACAAGGGGAAGACUAAACAACAGACCACGCAAUCAUCGAGGUUAUUUAGGGCAGAGGGGUCUAGGAAGGAAGAACAAGGCCUGGGCAUCUGAGUGGUCUGGCUCUGUGACCCUGAGCAGAGGACUGAACCUCUCUGAGCCUCAGCUUCCUCAUCUGUAAGGUGAUUAUAACCUGUAAAGUGACUUAUUCAAGAGGAGGCUUCAAUGAGAUAGAUUUAUGUAAAGGGCCAUGACCACAGUGUUACAAGGCUAAUAAAUGGUCGCUAUUACAAUGAUUACUAUUGUUUAAUUUAAUAUAUAAUUCAUAUUAAUUAAUUAUAUAUUUAAUAUAUACUUCACAUUAAUUAAUUAUAUAUUUAAUAUAUACUUAGUAUUAAUUAAUAUGGCAGCUGAAACUACCCACGGCAUGGAGGUCCUUAUAUGUGACCCACUGUAAAGAGUUUCAUCCACGUGACUAUUGUACAAGGGGUGGUUCUCAGCUUGGGGGAGCUUAAAUCUUAUCAGAAAUAUUUCUCUCACAAGUUUGGUUUCCCUUUUUUUAAAAAAAUCCAAUUCUUAAUAUGUUCAUAGUUCGGAGAAGCUUUGUUAAGGAAAGGGGUUCAUCGGCAUCAUUUCUGAUAAGACUCAUUAGAGGUUCUGAAAGUCUGGGGUUCCAGGCUCGUUUUCAGGAACUUCAGGAAAAAGUAUAUAUGGUGAGGUGCUCAGACUGUCCCCUUAUUGACCACAAGGCCCUGCCCUCUGAGGACAGAGUGGAGUCAGUCAGCCCUUUCCUGGACAAGGAGAGGAGAGCAAGACUUGGCAGGAAAAUCACUGGCACUUCACUCUGUGAAUUGCAACUCUAAGGUAUCUUAGCCGCCCCUGUUGCUUCUCUGCUCCACAGGCAGACUGAUCAUAGUUUCUUAAAAAUGUAGCCAAAAUUGCACACUUUUAUGGGGAUUAGGACCCCAGGAGGGUCUGCUGGAGGAGCGGUCUGCACAGAUGCAGCCACCCUGGAGCCUGAACACUUGUGACCUUCUGUGCUCGUAUCCCUGCUCGUCUUCUUGGUGGCUGGCCAUGAAAGAGAGGCUAUUCUGGAGUUCCCCGAGGCACAGGCCAGAUUAUUUGGGGCUUACCACCGUCUGGCUGAGGAGGUAGGAAAUGAAGCGGUGGCCCCUCCUUUUAAGGCAAGUCCAGGUCCUGUGUUGGGAGAGAACCUUAUUUUUCCUAAGGCUCAGCCAGACAUCUUGCUAUUUUUAGAGGACUGGCCGGUUCUGAAUGUUGAUUCCAUCAUGGGCACGAGUCCCAUUUUAACUUCCCAGGGGCAGCCGAGAGCACAGCCAGCUCCCAAAGCUCAUUUUCUCUCCCUGCGGGGACCCUACCACCUUUCUGGGAAGAGGCGAGUUUGGGUGGCAUUUUACCAUUACAGUUGUCCUCGCCCUGCUUGUCAUCAGCGCUGGAGAGGUGACCUGGGACUUUGGGGGAGGCUGGGGCAAGGGGACGAGAGAGUGCCAACCUUAUACUAAGCAUAUCCUUAUUUAUGCUUCUAGCAACUCUGUGAAGUACCUUUUAUUACACCGGUUGAAGCUGCCUCCAGGUUAGAUAAUUUGGAGGCACAGAAUGGUUAAGAAACUUGCCCAGGUCACACAGCCGAUCAAUAGCUGACUUAGGACUUGAAGCACCUCUAAGCCAUUCAUUCUAAUUUGCAACAUUCAUUCUAAUUUGUUGCAUUUCCCAACAUCACCUGAUCCUCAUGCCACAGAAGGUGCUUAUUAAAAUCCCUGUUCCUUAUACCCCCGAGCCACAGAAUCGGAAUCUCCCUGGGAAUGGCUGGGUAUUAACAUUUUUAACCAGCAUGCCUAGGUGGUUUUCAUGCUCAGCAAAUUUGGGGAAGAACAGAGUCACUUUCAAACUUGAGUGAACAUGAGAAUCGCAAGGGAGUUUAUUUUUUAUUUUUUUUACAUUUUCUCUCAAUUUAUUACCAGUACCUAGAAAGGGAGUUUAUUUAAAGGCAGAUUCUUCUGACUUGCUCUCAAAGCUGCUGAGAGAUGUGGGCCAGGGCCCAAGAAUCUGCAUUUUUGCAACCAUUGCCAAUUUAUCCUGUUGCAAGUGGGCAGAGGAAAACACGGGCCUAAUAAUAAACAAGAAAGAAAGAUGGAGAUGCUAGAAUCAUGAAGUCACUAAUACCAGAAAGGACUCAUUAUACUGCAGUCCAAGGACAAUUAUUUCGUUUGGAUUAAAGGAAGAAUUUCUGCAAACAUGAUGACACAAGGUUAGACCCAGAAACAGGUGAUCCCUUCCACAACGAGAACAGUUAACAUAUUCAUAACAGAAAGGGGGGUAGGCCCUGUGGUCCACACGUGACCACUGACGUCUUAGCUCCCCCAAGUUCCCCAUCCUCAGCUUCCACCUGGAACGCUCUCUUCCCUUGCCCGUCUUUCCUCGUUAAAAAUUCUCUCUUUAAGGCUCAGUCCCAAAGAUUCUUUCUCCACACAGUUUUCUCCCAGGUGCUCCUCUCCCUCUUCUUUGUUCCUGUUGUUUGUACCUCUCCUGGGGUACAGAUCCCUUCUUACCUUGCCGUCUGACUCCCUUGUGUUCCUGUAACGCACACCUUUCCUUUCAAAGAGGGCUGGGACCUGACUGCUUCAUUGUUGAUGUCCCACACAGGGAAAGCCUUUUGCCCAGUAAGGUGGACCAGAUAGAAACCACCGCCACCACUACACUUACAGAGGGCUUACUGGGUGCAGAUGCUGUUCUCAGUGCUAUAGAAAGAAACUGAUAUUAAAUGCUCCUAUUUUGCAGGUGAAGAAAGGAAUGCACUAACUUAGAGGUGGUUGUGGAAGGGUCUCUCUUAGAAGUGAUAGCUCAGGAGUUCCCAUCGUGAGGCUGAUGCUGCGGACCAUACUUGAGGAACUAUUGCUGUAGCUCAAGGUGUCUGUUGCUGAGCAAUUCAUGGGCAAGGAAUCAGCCCUUACAUUCUGAACUUCAUCAAAACGAGGAGGAGAGGAAGAGGAGUAAAGCAUACAGCAGCCAGGAGAGAGUGAGCGACGUUCAAGGGUGCGAUGGUAGGAGUUUUCACCAAUGAGGGUGCAGAUGGGCAGGCAACACUCCAAAGAGAGGAGCCGAGUCAGUGAAAUGACUAAGUAAUGAAGAAUUUUCAGCCUAAGCGGCGGUACACAACUGGAGCCCACCCCUUUGGCUCCAGAUUCUUACUAACAAACUUUAAGUGGGGUUUGCAGAAGAAUGGAUGUAACCUCUCAUGAAUGGUGAAUUUCUUGAGAAGAUAGCUCGGCAGAGGGUCCACUGACUCACAGGCUCUCAUGCCAUAUUUGUGGAGGGAUCGUAAUGAUAGUAUAAUGUACUAUAAUAAUACAGAAUAUUGACAAACCGCUUUACCUCCAAAAUCUUACUUUUUUUUUCAAGUGCACCUAUUAAAUUGAGUGAGGAUGAAAAACUGCUUGAGAUCUGGGAAACACAUUCGAGAAUCUGGUUCUUGUCCUAGUUUUCCAAAGAAAUACAUUGCUCAGGGACUUAGUUUCUUAGUUUUUAAAAAAGAUGUAAUACUUCACAAUGUCUGCAUGGGGAUGUCUUUGGGGUCAUCAGAAGAAAUUGCUCCCAUUUAAUGAUUGGGAUAAAUGAUAUAUUAGAAAUAAAUUCCUUUGAGUUACUUUUGAGUUUCAGUACACAUUCAAAAUAUUGAACCAAGGCACUGGAAGGGCAAGCCGCAAGUUCGAAUCCUGUGCUGUCCAAUUCUCAUCCCUCACUCCCCAGACCCGAGCUCUUCGAAUUACUGACCAGCCCCUAGGCAACUGUGAACUCUCGCCUCUCUUCAUAGGCCCUCUUUUAAGUCCACCUUCCCCUCUGCUUUGCUUCCAGCCCCAGCACACAGAAUCAAGUUCACUGUCAGGACUAAAGUCACUCCCACACACCAGUCAUGCAGGCUGGGGCGAUUUCUCUCAUCCACGUCCCCUGGCCUGGCUGCCAGAUGGAGCAAGAUUCCAGCGGUGCUCCCUCGACCGUGGGGGAGGCAGAACCUGGAGCUUCAUCUGCUCUUAUAGAUGCUGCGGUGCUGGCUUCAGAUGACAGAAGCAGCUCAUUCACAGGGCUUCCCCCCAAAACAUGAGCAAAGAAAGAAAGACAGAUGGGCAAGGCAGGAGGGCCAGAGGACAGUUAGAGGAGAGAGCUCCGCGUGGGAGCAGCUCAGUACAUACCUGGGGAAAAGUUGCCGGCGGGUCCCUUCUCUCCGUGCCUUCUUCCCUGGCAGCCUCAUCCCCAUUAAGGUGUUUAGAGCAUGGAUUNUUUUUUUUUUUUUUUUUUUUUUUUUUUUUUUUUUCCCCAGUGCUAGCAGUGUUGGCUUGCAUUUCUAUGCCUUCCUGUCAGAAUUCUCUCAAGGAAACAGCAGCUGGUGAGCUCAGAAAUGUCAGUCAGACUCCUGGCCUAGUUUGGGGCCUUGAAGAUUCUUACAGAAAGUUAAAAAGGUUUCUGGGCCAGUGUCUCCUCUGGGUUUUCCCUCUCCUGCCUCUCACCUUUUCCAUCUUCUAUUUUUUUUUUUUUUUCAUUUUUACCUCCGUCACU
rnacentral:lncRNA from 1 species